ensembl:misc_RNA
UCGUCUGCCGGGCUCUAAUUUAUGAAACUGAGCCCCAGAUCCAGCCAAUCAUUUAGCUCCUCAUAACAAGUCUAACUGGCUCUGGAAAGCUGAAAGGGCUGCACUAGAACAACAUAGAUGAGAUAUCCCACACAAUAAUCUGCUUAUCUGGAAUUGCUUUCCCCCUCAAGGCCAGAGUAAAAUCGCAGCUUCAUUGUCUGAGGGAAGAAGGACAGGUGACCUGGAAAAACGUGACAGUACCUGGAGCAC